AUGAUUUCUUCGUGUAUGAGCUUCACUUUACCUCUCAACCAGCUGGUUGUCUCAGUUAAGGCGGCCACAUGUGGUGCGAAGGUGGUUGGUCCUCUGUCCAAGACGUGGGUGCUAGUAGAUGAUGUGCCAGUGGGUUUGCGAACGGCUGAGUUCAUGAUGGCGUUUGGGACUCUCAUUGGCAAGCCUGUGGAAGUUGAUUCUGAAUCUUUGGGUAAGGUUGGCCCGGUGCACCUCAGUAUUUGGUGCGUUGAUCCUGUCUGUGUGCAUGGUGCUGUGGAUGUGUUCCCGUCUUCUGAGGGUGUUCGACUGCGGGUUCGGGUCAAAGGUGUUGAUGCUUUCCAGGCUCCAUCUCCGCCUCCUCCUUCCAACUCGGCUGAUCCUGAUGAUAAGCAGGGAGAUGGUUUGGCUGGUGGGCAGAACCCAAGUGGAGGUACCGACCCUUGUUUCACCCAGUCUGAAUGGGAUGGACUGGAGCCUGAAGAGCAGGAAUUGUUUAAGGCCAAUGCCCCGGUUGAUGAAGCUCAGAAGGAUGCAGGUGCCAAUCAGGCGAUGGACAAGGCCCCCCUUGGGAAUCCUGCUAGCAAAGGCACACCGAUCUCUGGUGUUUGCUCCAACCUUCCUGCUCGACCGCAAUCACCUUCAUUUUCUGGGAUUGAAGAUCUACCUGUGUCUCCUCCUCGCUCCACUGGACCUGCAUCUAAGAAGAAGAAGAAAACCUCCGUCAGAAAGUUCUCAGCUAAGAGCAGGGCCUCUUCUGGUUCCAAGCAAUCCAUGACGGGCCUGGUUCCUUGUCUGGACAAGGAUCUGGGGGCUGCUUCGGGUUCCGGCCAGGGUCCGGCCUCGCCAGUUCUGCGCUCUCCGAUGCUGCGGUCGCCCGCGUCCACGGCGCACAAGGGGCGUCGCGUGCGUGAAUCUGGCGAGUCGGUGGCGGCGCGGGCUGAAAGGCGGGCUGCGGCCAGGGAUCUUCCUGCUUCAGCAGUGGAAAUCAUUGACUAA
rnacentral:rRNA from 1 species